GAUGAACGCUGGCGGCGUGCCUAAUACAUGCAAGUCGAGCGAACGGACGAGAAGCUUGCUUCUCUGAUGUUAGCGGCGGACGGGUGAGUAACACGUGGAUAACCUACCUAUAAGACUGGGAUAACUUCGGGAAACCGGAUCUAAUACCGGAUCAUAUUUUGAACCGCAUGGUUCAAAAGUGAAAGACGGUCUUGCUGUCACUUAUAGAUGGAUCCGCGCUGCAUUAGCUAGUUGGUAAGGUAACGGCUUACCAAGGCAACGAUGCAUAGCCGACCUGAGAGGGUGAUCGGCCACACUGGAACUGAGACACGGUCCAGACUCCUACGGGAGGCAGCAGUAGGGAAUCUUCCGCAAUGGGCGAAAGCAUGACGGAGCAACGCCGCGUGAGUGAUAAAGGUCUUCGGAUCGUAAAACUCUGUUAUUAGGGAAGAACAUAUGUGUAAGUAACUGUGCACAUCUUGACGGUACCUAAUCAGAAAGCCACGGCUAACUACGUG
rnacentral:rRNA from 1 species